rnacentral:rRNA from 1 species
GACGAACGCGGGCGGCGUGCCUAAUACAUGCAAGUAGAACGCUGAAGGAGGAGCUUGCUCUUCUGGAUGAGUUGCGAACGGGUGAGUAACGCGUAGGUAACCUGCCUGGUAGCGGGGGAUAACUAUUGGAAACGAUAGCUAAUACCGCAUAAGAGUAGAUGUUGCAUGACAUUUGCUUAAAAGGUGCAAUUGCAUCACUACCAGAUGGACCUGCGUUGUAUUAGCUAGUUGGUGGGGUAACGGCUCACCAAGGCGACGAUACAUAGCCGACCUGAGAGGGUGAUCGGCCACACUGGGACUGAGACACGGCCCAGACUCCUACGGGAGGCAGCAGUAGGGAAUCUUCGGCAAUGGACGGAAGUCUGACCGAGCAACGCCGCGUGAGUGAAGAAGGUUUUCGGAUCGUAAAGCUCUGUUGUAAGAGAAGAACGAGUGUGAGAGUGGAAAGUUCACACUGUGACGGUAUCUUACCAGAAAGGGACGGCUAACUACGUGCCAGCAGCCGCGGUAAUACGUAGGUCCCGAGCGUUGUCCGGAUUUAUUGGGCGUAAAGCGAGCGCAGGCGGUUAGAUAAGUCUGAAGUUAAAGGCUGUGGCUUAACCAUAGUACGCUUUGGAAACUGUUUAACUUGAGUGCAAGAGGGGAGAGUGGAAUUCCAUGUGUAGCGGUGAAAUGCGUAGAUAUAUGGAGGAACACCGGUGGCGAAAGCGGCUCUCUGGCUUGUAACUGACGCUGAGGCUCGAAAGCGUGGGGAGCAAACAGG